AUACGGAGGAUGCGAGCGUUAUCCGGAUUUAUUGGGUUUAAAGGGAGCGAAGAUGGGAGCUUAAGCCAGUUGUGAAAAGCGCGGGCCCAACCCGCGUCGUGCAAUUGGAACUGUGUUCCUUGAGUGGGUUCGGGGCAGGUGGAAUUCGAGGUGUAGCGGUGAAAUGCUUAGAUAUCACGAAGAACUCCGACAGCGUAGGCAUCCUGCCAGGCCCUUACUGACAUUGAAGCUCGAAGGUGCGGGUAUCAAACAGGAUUAGAUACCCUGGUAGUCCGCACGGUAAACGAUGGAUGCCCGCUGUCGGCGACAGACAGUCGGCGGCCAAGCGAAAGCGUUAAGCAUCCCACCUGGGGAGUACGCCGGCAACGGUGAAACUCAAAUGAAUUGACGGGG
rnacentral:rRNA from 1 species